UAGGGAAUCUUCCACAAUGGACGAAAGUCUGAUGGAGCAAUGCCGCGUGAGUGAAGAAGGGUUUCGGCUCGUAAAACUCUGUUGUUGAAGAAGAACGGGUGUCAGAGUAACUGUUGACAUCGUGACGGUAUUCAACCAGAAAGCCACGGCUAACUACGUGCCAGCAGCCGCGGUAAUACGUAGGUGGCAAGCGUUGUCCGGAUUUAUUGGGCGUAAAGCGAGCGCAGGCGGUUAUUUAAGUCUGAUGUGAAAGCCUUCGGCUUAACCGAAGAAGUGCAUCGGAAACUGGGUAACUUGAGUGCAGAAGAGGACAGUGGAACUCCAUGUGUAGCGGUGGAAUGCGUAGAUAUAUGGAAGAACACCAGUGGCGAAGGCGGCUGUCUAGUCUGUAACUGACGCUGAGGCUCGAAAGCAUGGGUAGCGAACAGG
rnacentral:rRNA from 1 species